AAUUACUCUUAUCUUAGUCAACUAGUGUUUACGUCUUCUGUACCCUCGGUAUUGUCUCCCAUCAUCACGGGACAUACCGUUUUAUAUUUUCGAAGACAAGAUUAAAUUUUGUUACUUCAUCCACAGCUACAGUUGCUCUCUGGAGUGUGUACUGAUACGCUGUCAGAUAAAGGCAAACAAAUUCGUCUGAGUGGUUAAACUAACGCGUUAAAUUAAAUAGUUUUCUCGAUUGCUAAUAACGAUUUCACACGAUCGAACUUUACUCUGAUUUUGAAAGGCUGAGCGUUACUUGUUCGAUCUUAAGAAUUAAUUCAACAAUCCAUCAUCCUACAAUUGUCUUUUCAAAACUUCUUCUUCAUGCAAAUACGCUUUCAUUUUUCUGUUUUAGAUUAGAACAUUUCGAUUGACGCUGUAAACACUGCAGAAAAUGGGAGAGUCGGGCUAACAAACAAAAUUGAAAGUUUCAACAAGAUCACAAUUGGGCACGGCUAGUUGAACCAGACAACUGUGAAAGUUGUAAAACAACAUCACGUUUCAUACGAUACUGGCAACAAUUGGUGUGAAAUGGGCUACUUGAGAAAUAUCGAUCUAAAGUGGAUUUUUUUGGGUAUGCGUUUUGUUGAAGGUGAAGAUGCCAUUCAAUACAAAAGAGGCAUGGUAUUCGGGAGUACGGCAGCAACUGCAUAAUUCCAAGAUUUUAUAUCAGUGGUACUUGUUAUUCAUCAGUUCAACGACUAUGCUAAACGACCAAAAUCUUCGCACGAAAGCACUAGACGCAGUUAGGGUGGUACAUCUGUGAGUGUGCGAGUUACGUGAAUGAUUUGAUAUUGGUUUAAAUAAAUCACUGCAUGAUUCGGCUGUAUUGAGAUACUGUACAAAUGAAAUGUCAGAUGUUGGGAUGAAGGUACCAUAACUACAACGGAAGUUGCGAAGAAUCAUCGAUUGUGUAUCGGUUAUUGGAAAUCAUCUGCUUCAUUUUUAAAGGGUCAAAUGGGGAGCAUCUAACUAAAAGUGUUUGUGAAAGAUAUUAAUGUGUCGUGAUCAUGUGGUGAUAGUGACAGUUCGAACAACAGUUUGUAAAUCUGAAGGUACUAUCAGGUAAGUAAUGUGUUGUCAUUUGUUUUCUUUGCUCAACUCAUCUGAUUCAGUUUUCGCACAUGCUGCUGAACUCGCUGAGACGUGUGAAGUGAGAAUGUUUCACUGGCAUUACGUUACAGGGAGUUUAGCAAGCAUGCACACAGUAUCAGAUCUGUUGACCAUCACUGUUAUAAAUAUGUAUGAUGAAAAAAGUCAAUAAAACUCUUUCACCUUAAAGAAAUCACUAAAUCAUGAUUGUGUAAAUCG